GGAAGAGAAGUUGGUGACUUGCUCACUUGCAGUACUUGCGGAUUUAUAUUUAAUAAAGUUUAAUAAAUACAGGAACUGACUAAAGAGUUACUGAACAUUAACUGCGAUAAGAGGCAUAUCGAAUUUCUUAAACUCAACAAUGUUCCGUACGCAUCCAAUGCAGACGCAACCCUGGAUUACAGCAUGACUAUUAUAUUCCUGUCGGAAGUUUUAAAUUUAACGCUAUUUUGACUUUAAUCACGAAAAACAUGUCAUUUGAAAUAGAUAUUUGCUAUUCCAAGUUUUUAAUGUUCCCUGAAUCUGCAAUGACAAGCAUGUUCUUUGUAACCUCAAAUUGGCUAUAAUCAAACAUAGCAGGCAUUUGGUGUAACCUUUUGACAAAAUCGACGCCAGAUUAAUUAUCCAAAACUCAUCAUCGAAAUUAAUACCAAAAUAUACAAAACUGUUCAUUUAUUUUUUUUUCCUUAGAAAGUUAGGACUUUAUAAUGAUUUACUACGAAAAAAAAAAAACGAUCAUUUGUGUCUCCCAUCACGAGCGCUUGUCGAAUACUACGCUGUAUGCUGAAAAUUUUCCUUCCAGAUCGAAGAAUGACUCAAGAUUGAAGAGCAGUAACAUGAUUG